rnacentral:lncRNA from 1 species
CAAUCUUUAACUUAGUUGUAUAUAUGAAGGAAUUCCGGAUACAUCAUCAUCUUUUGAACAAAAUGACAAGAAGUGAACAGAACGAAUUGAACUGAUGCACUAGUGCGAGUCAGAACUCACACAAAACCCAGAACCCAUAACGACAGGCACCGACACCGAUAGAUUUAUCAGUGCGCGAGAUAUGUGACGAACAACGCUGCCAACAUGAGCACGUACGCGAUAGCUUGAUCAAUCGCCUUUGCGUCCACAACCACCCGCGCCGUCGCCACGGCGGUCGCCGGCUUCUCCUGCGCUGCCAUGGAGAGCUGCAAGAGCCCUGAGAAGAAGAAGGCCGUGAACAGCAGCACGCACGCCUUCACGGAUGCCAUUUGCAGCUGCUGAUCGAAGCUGAACAGAGAUGAUGAAAUGCGAAUGCGCUGAGCGGCGAAGCUCUCUGAUUUGAUUUGCUAGCUGCCUAGGGAAU